rnacentral:rRNA from 1 species
UACGGAGGAUCCAAGCGUUAUGCGGAUUUAUUGGGUUUAAAGGGUGCGUAGGCGGAUUGAUAAGUUAGAGGUGAAAUGUCCGAGCUCAACUCGGGAACUGCCUCUAAUACUGUUGAUCUAGAGAGUAGAUGCGGUAGGCGGAAUGUAUGGUGUAGCGGUGAAAUGCUUAGAGAUCAUACAGAACACCGAUUGCGAAGGCAGCUUACCAAUCUAUAUCUGACGUUGAGGCACGAAAGCGUGGGGAGCAAACAGG